rnacentral:lncRNA from 1 species
CCCUCCCAGAUCCACAGUGGUGUACUCUCUUGCUGGUGGGGCAGUCGGCUACAGUUCUUUAUCUUAUCAGCUCCUACAAACACUGCAUUUCCCUGGUAAGAUCUCGGCACUUGAAGGUGAAAGGCCUUCCUGCCCUGGAGUUUGAUGGGAGCUGAGUUAUCAAAAGAGAAGUCUUCCUUACAGAUUGGUGUACUUCUUAUCAGGUCUAAGGUUCUCACUGUGGAUCACGUUUCAACGCUCUGGAGUGACUUUGUACAAGCACCAGAGGUGGGAUUUAGUCAUUCUCAUGAAGUGUGGAGACAUUUAAGAGAAUCAAGAGAAAGUGGAGCUGUUCCCUAAUGGGUAGAAUGAAAUGAGACCUGCUGACAGAAGCAUCAGAAUGCCUGGAAUACUGGCCAGGAAACAAGGUGGUGCUGAAAACUACACCCCAAAGGUAUUCCUUCUGUACCCAAGAUACAUCCAGG